GUCGGUUUCUCGGCUGGGGUGCGUGCAGUCCCUGCUUCCGCUGCACUCGGCGGUGUCUUCGGCGCGCCUGACAUCUUGCCUCGGCGUUGAUUCGAGGAGCUCGAGAUCGUUGUCUCAGGGUAUGCUCUGCAGUGCCAACCCCGGAGUUUGAUAAAAAUGCUCCAAAUUUGUUUUUUUGUUUCAUAUCUAAAUGGGUCUCGGCACGCCUCGAUAAGAGAUGUAGAAGAUUGUUGAUUGAUGGAUUAGAAUCAUCAUUCAUUUUGCUGAGAUGCUUCUUUAUGCUAAUUGUCUUAUGUUUUCAGCAGUUUGGUAUAAUAGCCUAUAAAGUUGGAAGGCUCUGUGGUUAUUGUUUCAGUGAAAUCCUUGAAAAUGUUAAAAUCAUUACUCUAUUACUUGGUUUAAAGAUCAAAAUUUUGGCAAUGUCACUUGGUGAAUAAAAAAAUAUAUUGCUGAUUCAGUUCCCCAUCAAAUCUGCUCAAUUCCAGAUUAAAUUUGCAGUUAUAAUCAGUGUAUUUGCAUGUCAUGGUUAAGUGGAAUGAACAAUUUGAUUUUCAUUUAGGUAUGAAAUGUAUGUACCCGAGAAAGAACUUCGUUAGGGGGGAAGCACUUUGCCAUCUUCUCA